rnacentral:misc_RNA from 1 species
CAAACCAACUGUUACUGGAGAACUAGACACUCAGAACUUUGAGAAGUUUCCUGAAGUUCAAGACCCUCCCUCUGAAAUGCCAACUGUUGGACCUUGGAGGAAGAUGCUAACUUCAAAAGAUACCAAUUUCAUUGGAUUUACUUUUAAGAAGUCAAACGUCAAAUCACUUGAGAGUACAGGUACAGAUGUGCAUUCAAACACAUCAUCAAAAUCACCAUCUCUAGUUUCCUUGUUGGGUCGAAUAGACUUGCAAGAAACAGUGAUACCAG